rnacentral:lncRNA from 1 species
GUUUUCUGCGGAGCUGGCAUUUGGGUUUGGAUUUAAAGGGCAAGAAGGAGCCAGACAAGCCAAGGUGUAAGAGAAGAGUCCUCCAAGCAGCAGGGAAGCAAGUGCAAAGGUCCUUGCAGAAGCGAGCUUGGCAUAUUAGAGGGACAGAGGGAGGCCGGAGCAACUGGAGGGUCUUCAGAGACUAUCAAGUGCCAACAAGGGGAUUACCCCUCUGCCCCUCUAAAGGAUUGCAAGAAAGAAGACACCAAAUCCAUGGCAUUUUUUCCCUUAGGAAAGAAGGGAGAUAAUGAGAAGCCUCCACUUGGUAUUCCUUGGAGCAGCUGGAAGCUAAAAACCAAAUGUGGGAACUGUGAAUCCUAUCUCUGGGAUAUGUUUUCUCAGGAAAUGGAGGAAAUGGGUGGGCACGGGUGGCAAAAUAUUCCAGGGGAAUACUUCUUCCUGGGCCUUGUGGGGAACAACUCCCAAAAGGCCAGUGGUUCUCAGCUUUAAGCCUGUGUUAGAAUCACCUGCAGGGCUUAUUAAAACACAGAUUGCCGGGCCUUACCCCCAGAGUUUGAUUUAGUAUUUCUGGGAGUUGGAUCUAUAAUUUGCAUUUCUGAAAGUUCCCAGGUGAUACUGAUGCUCCUGGUCCCAGGACCACAGACAAAUUCUCCUUCUUGUAGCCCCUCAUUCACUCUGCGUAGGAGGCAUGGCUCAUCUGGCUGGUGGGUUUGGGAGGAGGAGCAGACCAUGCUCAGUUAGCCCUCCCCACUCUCCCUUUCUCUCUCUCCCCAUCGCCCUAGCUGCAGAGCAUAUUCAGACAGCUCUCCAAUCAGUUCAUCAGUAAUAAAGGUGACAUGCUGAUCCUCAUCUGUUUUUCUCUUGCAUCUGCCAAUUGAUUCUGCACUUGAGAGGGGAAUAAGUAUAUUUAUUUAUUGGGUUUCCCUCAAAUUCCAACAGAGAAGUUGGUAUCAGUUGCAAAACAAUCAACUGGCAUCCGGGCCACACAGCAGCAUAGGAAUCUUGGUUUUAGCUUCCACUAAAAUAUCAAUUAUUUGAGGGCAAAAAAUGUCCAAUUCCUGGGCCUUUAAGAUAGGAAGUCAGGUCUGUGGAUGGGGUGAGGUCACCAGGAUGAGGUCACAAAGGCAUUGAUGCCCCUUUGUCCUAUCAUGUGACCACUUGUCACACUUCCAUCAAACAGUACCUGCCCCUUAGGUGUGCUAGGGAAUAAAUGAAAUGCCUGGGACAUCAUCGUUAAGUGGCAUCUGAUGCAUAAGCAGUGCCCUAGGAAUGGGGUUGCCUGCCUUGGUCUCUAAAGGAUGGGUUCAAAAGGCAAGAGCAGCACACAAGAAGAUAGCUUCAAGCAGGAGAUAAAGCUUGGCCCAGGGCCCAAAGGGGAUACGACCCUUCAGGUUGGCCCUGACCUCUGGGUUGGAUUACCAGUGACACAAUGAACAUUUCAUUAUGAGGCCAUCCCUUGAGCAAACUGACAUGCUGAAAGCUGCCCUAUGGAGAGGCUCAUGUGGCAAGGAACAGAGGGUGGCUUCUGGCCAACACCCAGUGAGGAACUCAGGCCCUCAGUCAAACAGCCUGCAAGGAACUGAACCCUGCCAAUAACCCAGCUGGGUUGAAAGCUUCCCUUUGGAGAAGAACUGAGGGCUGUCUCUGGUCAAUAGCACUGAGGAACUGAAUCCAGCAAACAAUUAUGUGAAGAAACUUGGAAGCUUGUCCUCCCCUCUAGUUGAGCUUUGAGAUGACUGCCGCCCUAGUGGACACCUUGAUUGAAGCCUUAUGAGAAACCCUAAGCCAGAGAACCCAAUUAAGCUACGCUUACAUUCCUAACACAGAGAAAAUAUGAGCUAAUAAAUGUUGUUUCAAACCACUAAGCUUUGGAGUAAUAUGUGACACAGCAACAGACACCUAACGCACCUGCCCUAAGGUCGGGCUACACUGCAUUUUCCCCAGAAACAUUACACUCUCUCCUCCCCAGGGCCUUUGC